GGAUGGAUGCCUGAGCGGUUGAAAGAGUCGGUCUUGAAAACCGAAGUAUUGAUAGGAAUACCGGGGGUUCGAAUCCCUCUUCAUCCG
rfam:Triticum urartu cultivar G1812 contig491222, whole genome shotgun sequence.